UUUUUUUUUUUAAAUAUACACAAAUUUCUUGCUUCCAGAUGCCAAAUUCCCAUUUUCCCUCUCUCAAUUCUUCAAAUACUAUUCACAGUGAGGGGUAGACUUCACCAAAAAUAAUUAACAAUUUUCAAAAGCAACUUGGCUCGGGCUCACUUCACUGCAAGAGCUCCGAGACCCACCCAACAUCCGGACCAUUAGUAGAUUGGCCUGCAUACGGGCCAACCCGACCCAACGAGUUCUCCUUCUUCAACUUCUCAAACAUCUUUGCACGCAGGUCCCUCCCUGAUUCCACUCUCUCCAUCGCAGGCUC
rnacentral:misc_RNA from 1 species